rnacentral:rRNA from 1 species
UUGGAGGGCAAGUCUGGUGCCAGCAGCCGCGGUAAUUCCAGCUCCAAUAGCGUAUAUUAAAGUUGUUGCAGUUAAAAAGCUCGUAGUUGAAUUUCGGGAUUCAUCCGUUGGUCGGGCUUCACGGUCCGUACUGGUGUGAUGGGUUCCUACCUUCUGAAUAACCGGCAUGCCAUUAAUUUGGUGCGCCGGGGAAGCAGAACUAUUACCUUGAAAAAAUUAGAGUGCUUAAAGCAGGCAAGUGCCUGAAUAGGUUAGCAUGGAAUAAUAAAAUAGGACGACAUGGUUCUAUUUUGUUGGUUUCUAGGAUCACCGUAAUGAUUAAUAGGGAUAGUUGGGGGCAUUAGUAUUCAAUUGUCAGAGGUGAAAUUCUUGGAUUUAUUGAAGACUAACUUCUGCGAAAGCAUUUGCCAAGGAUGUUUUCAUUAAUCAAGAACGAAAGUUAGGGGAUCGAAGACGAUCAGAUACCGUCGUAGUCUUAACCAUAAACUAUGCCGACUAGGGAUCGGACGAUGUUAAUUUUUUAAUGACUCGUUCGGCGCCUUACGGGAAACCAAAGUGUUUGGGUUC